rnacentral:rRNA from 1 species
GAUGAACGCUGGCGGCGUGCUUAACACAUGCAAGUCGAACGAAGCAGAUGAGAAAGCUUGCUUUUUAUUUCGCUUAGUGGCGGACGGGUGAGUAACGCGUGAGUAACCUGCCCUUCAGUGGGGAAUAACAUCGAGAAAUCGGUGCUAAUACCGCAUAACGUAUUUAUGUCGCAUGACAUUUAUACCAAAGGAUUUAUUCGCUGAAGGAUGGACUCGCGUCCGAUUAGAUAGUUGGUGAGAUAAUGGCCCACCAAGUCAACGAUCGGUAGCCGAACUGAGAGGUUGAUCGGCCACAUUGGGACUGAGACACGGCCCAGACUCCUACGGGAGGCAGCAGUGGGGAAUAUUGGGCAAUGGGCGAAAGCCUGACCCAGCAACGCCGCGUGAAGGAUGAAGGUCUUCGGAUUGUAAACUUCUUUGAUUAGGGAAGAAUUUUGACCUACCUAAAGAACAAGUCACGGCUAACUACGUGCCAGCAGCCGCGGUAAUACGU